UGCAUUCCAACUACUUGGAACCAGCUUAAGCCCCGGGAAGAGGUCAAGCAUGCAGAGCUGACAUUCAGGGAGCAGAGACUAGAGCACCCUGGUGGGCUUAGGGCCAAGGGUGUGUGAUUGUCUUCCCUAAGAGAACCGGUGCUCUCUGGACAGGCUUCCCAGCUGGCAAAGGGGUUUCUCAGCAGGGGUGGGCAGAGCUGGGGAGUAGUCUUCAACAGUGACACCACGUGUCAGGGAGAAAGACCACCAGAACUAAACAGAUCGGCUCUAGUUCUCUCUUCUGCUGGAAUUUGGAAGCUGGGACAACCUACUUUGAGGACAAUUUGGGCGGAGCAGGACAAGAAGUCUCAAUGGGAAAUACAUUCUGAUCAUAGGGUAUAUGGUACAAGUAAUUAUUUUGUGGCAGAAACUGUUGUCUGCUGACCCAAUAAUCGUCUGGAAGAGCCUUUUCUGGAAGAACUCACCCCCCAUGACAGAGACCUAAAAUGCCAAGUGCUCACUCUCCCAGAUAGUCUUGGUAUGUGGUCCAAUUUUGGUCAAUAAGACCAUGAGAUAAUUUACUAGGAGCUUGAGGGGAAAUUUUUUUUCUCCUGAUAAAAAGAGAGGAAUAGGCAAAGAAAACUUGCCUCUUUCUUUCUUGUCUUACAGUUUGAGUGUGGACAUGAAAUUGGAGCUGUGGCAGCAAUAUUGUGACCAUGAGGAAAAGGCCAGGAGAAUCACAUGUUAGUCAGCCCAGAAUACUGACACUGCACAGCCACCAAACCAACUACCUACUUCAGGACAUCCUAUUAGAUAGAGUGAGUGAGAGGCUCAGGGGAGCUAGUGCCUGUUCAGCUCAGUGCCUGGAACACACAGGAUGCACAUUACAUAACAAAUGGCUUAUAUGACCCUUACUACGGAGAUCAGGCCUGUCAGUGUCCCGGGGCUGCUCUCACAAGUUCCGCAACCUGUAUGGCUUAAAACAACAGAAACUGAUUCUCUCGAAGUGCUGGAGGCUGCAAGUCUGAAAUCAAGGUGAGCAGAGUUGAUUCCUCUUGGAGGCUCUGAGGGUCAACCUUCUGAGGAGAACCUCUGAGGAGAACCUUUACCUUCUGGUAGCUGCUGGCAAUGCUUGGCAUUCCCUGGCUUGUAGCCAUCUCUGACCCCACCUUCAUGUGGCCCGCUGCUUGUGUCUCUCUGUGUCACAUCUCCCCUUCCUUUCUCUUACAAGGACACCCGUCAUUGGAUUGAGGGCUCACUCUAAAUCCAGAAUGAUCUCAUUUCAAGAUCCUUAACUUAAUUAUCCCUGCCAAGACCCUAUUGCCAAACAAGGUCACAUUCACAGGUACCAGGGGUUGACAUUGGACGUAUCAGUUGGAGCCUCUCCAGGGCUAGGCACAAAGUUUGCAGGGUUGGACAAGUGGUCGACCACAGCCCCCACCCACACGUGAUGGUGAAUUGUUAGCCAACCCCUGUGGGGUCCCUUGACGGGGCACCCUUGUGUACAGGAGCCAUUGUGAUGUAGCGUAAAGGGUAGGGGUUUUGGAGUCUGGCAGAUCUGGCUGGAAGCCCUCAGACACUGGGCCAGUUUACUUCAUCAGAGUAAGGCUCAGUUUCGUUAUCUCUGAAAUGGACACAUAAGCUCUAUCUCAAGCUGUUCCUGUGAAGCAUACAGACCACAGAUUGACAACAUCUAGCCCGUAAAGCACUCUGUAAAUGGGAUCCCCUCUUUCUUCCUCCACAUCUGAUGACAUGAAAGCUGUUGAUGCCUGGAAUAUUCUUUGAAAUCUGGAAUGGCAGUAAGGCCCACGCAUCCUUAGAGCACUUCAGUGCCAGCCAUGAUGUCACUGGAGGGGUCCUCUCUAAUGCCAGGUGGCCCUCAAGGCCCAGAUCUGUGUUUCCAGCAAUAAAUGUCUGAUGACUGGGAGCCCACUUGUCAAUUACCAAGUCCUGGGAUUCUCCCUUCAGAAACACUGUUAACAGCCCAGCCCGUACCUCCUAGAUUUCCAGCGCCCAGAGAGGGCUUCAAAC
rnacentral:lncRNA from 1 species